AACGACUGCUAAGACUGGAUAGGAAAUAAAAAGGCAUCUUCUUAUUUUUAAAAGACCUUUUUCGGAAGGUAUGCUUAAAGAGGGGCUUGCGUCACAUUAGUUAGUUGGCAGGGUAAAGGCCUACCAAGACUAUGAUGUGUAGCUGGACUGAGAGGUUGAACAGCCACAUUGGGACUGAGACACGGCCCAAACUCCUACGGGAGGCAGCAGUAGGGAAUUUUCGGCAAUGGAGGAAACUCUGACCGAGCAACGCCGCGUGAACGAUGAAGUAUUUCGGUAUGUAAAGUUCUUUUAUUGAAGAAGAAAAAAUAGUGGAAAAACUAUCUUGACGAUAUUCAAUGAAUAAGCCCCGGCAAACUAUGUGCCAGCAGCCGCGGUAAUACAUAGGGGGCGAGCGUUAUCCGGAAUUAUUGGGUGUAAAGGGUGCGUAGGCGGUUUAAUAAGUCUAUAGUUUAAUUUCAGUGCUUAACACUGUCCUGCUAUAGAAACUAUUAGACUAGAGUGAGAUAGAGGCAAGUGGAAUUCCAUGUGUAGCGGUAAAAUGCGUAAAUAUAUGGAGGAACACCAGAGGCGUAGGCGGCUUGCUGGGUCUUUACUGACGCUGAGGCACGAAAGCGUGGGGAGCAAACAGGAUUAGAUACCCUGGUAGUCCACGCCGUAAACGAUGAGUACUAAGUGUCGGGAUUACUCGGUACUGAAGUUAACACAUUAAGUACUCCGCCUGAGUAGUACGUACGCAAGUAUGAAACUUAAAGGAAUUGACGGGACUCCGCACAAGCGGUGGAUCAUGUUGUUUAAUUCGAAGAUACACGAAAAACCUUACCAGGUCUUGACAUACUCUGCAAAGCUAUAGCAAUAUAGUGGAGGUUAUCAGGGAUACAGGUGGUGCAUGGUUGUCGUCAGCUCGUGUCGUGAGAUGUUAGGUUAAGUUCUAAAACGAGCGCAACCCUUGUCAUUAGUUGCCAGCAUGUCAUGAUGGGCACUUUAAUGAGACUGCCAAUGAAAAAUUGGAGGAAGGUGAGGAUCACGUCAAAUCAUCAUGCCCCUUAUGAUCUGGGCUACAAACGUGAGACAAUGGCUGUUACAAAGGGUAGCUGAAACGCAAGUUUAUAGCCAAUCUCAUAAAAGCAGUCUCAGUUCGGAUUGAAGUCUGCAACUCGACUUCAUGAAGUUGGAAUCGCUAGUAAUCGCGAAUCAGCAUGUCGCGGUGAAUACGUUCACGGGGUUUGUACACACCGCCCGUCA
rnacentral:rRNA from 1 species